UAGGGAAUCUUCGGCAAUGUACGAAAGUCUGACCGAGCAACGCCGCGUGAGUGAAGAAGGUUUUCGGAUCGUAAAACUCUGUUGUUAGAGAAGAACAAGGACGUUAGUAACUGAACGUCCCCUGACGGUAUCUAACCAGAAAGCCACGGCUAACUACGUGCCAGCAGCCGCGGUAAUACGUAGGUGGCAAGCGUUGUCCGGAUUUAUUGGGCGUAAAGCGAGCGCAGGCGGUUUCUUAAGUCUGAUGUGAAAGCCCCCGGCUCAACCGGGGAGGGUCAUUGGAAACUGGGAGACUUGAGUGCAGAAGAGGAGAGUGGAAUUCCAUGUGUAGCGGUGAAAUGCGUAGAUAUAUGGAGGAACACCAGUGGCGAAGGCGGCUCUCUGGUCUGUAACUGACGCUGAGGCUCGAAAGCGUGGGGAGCAAACAGG
rnacentral:rRNA from 1 species